rnacentral:rRNA from 1 species
UACGAAGGGGGCUAGCGUUGCUCGGAAUUACUGGGCGUAAAGCGCACGUAGGCGGCUUCUUAAGUCGGUGGUGAAAUCCUGGAGCUCAACUCCAGAACUGCCUUCGAUACUGGGAAGCUCGAGUCCGGGAGAGGUGAGUGGAACUGCGAGUGUAGAGGUGAAAAUUCGUAGAUAUCCGGAGGGAAACACCAGUGGCGAGGGACGAUC